UGAGGAAUAUUGGUCAAUGGGGGCAACCCUGAACCAGCCAAGUCGCGUGAAGGAUGAAGGUCUUAUGGAUUGUAAACUUCUUUUACACGGGAAUAAAGCGGGGGACGUGUCCCUCUUUGCAUGUACCGUGUGAAUAAGGAUCGGCUAACUCCGUGCCAGCAGCCGCGGUAAUACGGAGGAUCCGAGCGUUAUCCGGAUUUAUUGGGUUUAAAGGGUGCGCAGGCGGGAUGUUAAGUCGGCGGUGAAAUUUUGCAGCUCAACUGUAAAAGUGCCUUCGAUACUGGCCUUCUUGAGUGUGGAUGAANUAGGCGGAAUUUGUGGUGUAGCGGUGAAAUGCUUAGAUAUCACGAGGAACUCCGAUUGCGCAGGCAGCUUACUAAGCCACAACUGACGCUCAUGCACGAAGGCGUGGGGAUCAAACA
rnacentral:rRNA from 1 species